UACGGAGGGUGCUAGCGUUGUUCGGAAUCACUGGGCGUAAAGGGCGCGUAGGCGGCCGAUCAAGUCAGGCGUGAAAUUCCCGGGCUCAACCUGGGGGCUGCGCUUGAUACUGAUUGGCUUGAAUGCGGGAGAGGAUAGUGGAAUUCCCAGUGUAGAGGUGAAAUUCGUAGAUAUUGGGAAGAACACCAGUGGCGAAGGCGGCUAUCUGGCCCGUUAUUGACGCUGAGGCGCGAAAGCGUGGGGAGCAAACAGG
rnacentral:rRNA from 1 species